UGAAGAACAGCCAACGGAGGAUCUUGGGCUCCCUGCAAAGGUGCAGCUGGAGUUAUCUGUGGAGUCCCAGCAACCACUUCCAUCAUCUGCUUUGACCGCCUCUCCCCAAGGCCAGCAGAGAGAGAAGCCACCUGAAGUCACUCCCACUGAAUCUUUAUCUAAAGUAACAGUUUGUUUAUCAUUCACCUGGGUCAUUUAAUCUUUUUUAAAAAUAGUGUUAAAGAGAGGGGGGGAAACUGCAUUUAACAAUCAUUGGGGGAUAAAAUAUUUUAUAUCUUCAAUUAAAAAUGAAUCCUGAAUUACAAUUUUUUUUAAAAAAUCAAACAAAAGAAAACCUUGAUAUUUAAUUAAAACAGCAGCCAAGGAAAUAAUCAAUACUCGAUUUAAACAUAAUAAAAGAAAAGACUUAAUAUUCAGACAUUAAGGAGGAAUUGGACUUGGAGAUACCUAAUUUCACAUAGAAACUCUAGCUGUGACGUUCCUGACCUAGGAUUCUUUGGGACUCUCUUCCCCUGAAGAUAUUCCCACUCCAAGAGACUGCAUCUAAAAGUUUGAAGCUAGUAAAAAAUGAAAUAUUGGUGUUUCGGGACUAUAAAGUGCUGGCAGGCAUAAGCUUGUAACUUUCUACUGAAGCUGUUUCAUUCAAAAGGCACCUAUCUUCCUAGUGUCUGUGUCGAGAUGGAAGAAGUGUGGGUUGUCUACUUGUCCCUGUUCUUGCUUGUCUUGGUGCUCAUUUUAAUGAAGCGUGACCCAGAUUUGGAGGCCGCAAAGAAAGUUAAGGAAACACCAAGCGCCCUAGCGCCAACCACCUAUUAUUCCAGUGGUGCUGGCAAACAUCUGGAAUACACUGAAGAAGAGAUGGAGAAAUCCCUGGAGAGGCUAACCAGCAUCUUGUAUGAGGUAGAUGCUAGAAAAAGGGAAACCCACCAUGAGCAGAAAACAGCAAAGGCAGAAGCCUAUCACCAUCACAAAGCACCUGACGCAGAGUCUGAAAAUAAAGAGCUAAUGGGAAAGGGGCCAGGACAUUCCCAGCAUCUAUCUAGCCAGCACAGGGUUCAGGAGAAAGCAACUCAUCCUGGAGGCCCUGGGAAUAUCAUGGAUGAGAUUGGUCUGAAAUGACUGUUCAGUCUCAGGCUGAUCAAAUCUAGAGGGGCUCCUGCUCCGGUUCCCGGUGUGUGCAGCGGCAGCUUGCAGAAGUAGUGACAUCACAGCCUUCCUGAAAAAGCCCUGGAGUAACAUGAAGAAGAGGGGGAUGCUGCACAUUUGACAUUGUAUUUACUUUUAAAAAAAAAAAAAAGGCAACAACCCAAUCUCCCCGGGGAGGCCAGGUCAGACACAUUUGCUGUUUCUUGAGAAUAAACUUUCCAAUAUGUUUGUACAGCUGCAUACUUAAUCCACUCUAAAAUUCAGUCACUGCAGGCUGACUGAUUGCUUCAGUGGAAGCCCUGUUUCCUGUUCCUCAAAGAGGACAGCUUCUCCCAGGCUCCCUGUGGCUGGUACAGUGCUCAGCACUGGCAGGAGAGAGCAACAUUUACAAUAAAAAAAAGCUACUGUCUCAAGAAACCCUCA